ACAACAGAAUUUAACCAAUAAAUAAUAAGAAAAGAGAGUAAAAUAUCAUAUCAUUGGUCCAUUGUAAACUGAAUUGCAUUCUCCAGAACACAAAUUUUCGGUGUUACAAAGCACAUAGGCAGGUGGCCGUGGCUCCUAUCGCAGUAUGGUGUGUUGACAGUGGACGAGCUAUAUUAAUCUUCUGCUGUGGAAUGGCCCAGAGCUGGGGCUUCCGUGUCUGCUGCAUGGUCUGCAGCCAACCUUUCCUCAAGAACCCUUUCGCCACGCUCCCUUCUUCUCGAUGCCUUUGCAGGAUCUGAGACUGGGAGGGCCAGUUCAGAAGGUCUAGACCUUGCACACAGCAUCCGAUCAAAGAGGUUAGCAACAGGGUCUGUGACUGGCCUCAUGGCAUCCGGGAACAAGCUGGGGAAGGAGAAGUCAUCACUUGAAUCACCCUUAAGCCCUGUCAGUGGGUUCCUCUGGAAGUAUCUCAGGUAAAUCCAGCUGACAUACAUCCCCGAUAGCAGAGUUGGAAGGAAGUUAAUGGAAUCAGGUACAAUGAAGGCCAUGAUAGUUGAGAAGCAUAGCACGAAGAAUGGCAUCCACUUAGCCUUUAUUUUCCAGAAAAAGCACAUGGGGAGCUCAAGGUUUGGUAAAAGUUGUUUCAGGCCAACAAGAAAGCCAGCAAGGGCACCAUGGAAACCAGAAAGUGAAACUUACAGGAAGCUCUCCUUUCCAGUGACAUAGUAGAGUGCAACAGCAAAGCAGAAUGCAAGGACACCGCAGAUGGAGUUGACCAAGAUGAUAAACUUCAAGAAUUCUUUGCGGCCCCACACUGGUUCGAUAUCCUUCCCACAGAAGAGAAGACCAAGGGAACUGCCGAUAGCC
rnacentral:sRNA from 1 species